rnacentral:tRNA from 1 species
GGCUAGCUCCGUGGUUAGAGCACCAGCCUCUUGACCUCGGGUUCGUUGGAUCGAGCCCGCCCGCCG